GGUUAUUGUUUUCCUUGCACCGAGUUCAGACCAGCUGGAAUUAUUCUUGCUUGCAAAGCUUAGGACAUACGGCUCUCCAUUUACUCCAACAUUUCAAUGUAGCAGUCUCUUUAUCAUAUCUACUUUCUUUUGCUGCAGUGGGGUUUCAGCGGAAAGCCAAGACAAUACAAGUGAGAUAGCUAGCCGCACAAAUCAGUUGUUUGGACACGUGAAGUGUCUUAUGUCAUUGGUGGAUCUCCCAUGGGCUGGAUUUUGUGUGUGUGGCCUGAAGGAAAAGAAGAAUGGCUGUCACUUCAAGCUGAAAAGUCAUAUCACUCACUCAGCCACUCAGGUUGGAGGUUGCUAGCGGGGAAGUUGGUUAUUAUUCAAUCUCGUUUUGGCCAGUUAUGGAGAUACAGACAAGGAAAGUGGCUUUCGCUGGCGUGUGGUAUAUGUUUCAGAAUGGUGCGGAAGGGUUGAGCAGCGAUAGAGAUUUUUUUAGUCCUAGAUUUUUUACUACCGAGAAUGCUUUUGGUAAUGUUUACGGAUGUUCUCAGCCAGAGUUGGGCUUCCUUGUCGACGACUUGCCAUCUCGAGCACCUCUGCAGGUUAAUUGUGAAGAUAUGAGACUUCAAGAAAUAACCUUCAUAUUAGGUCUGGUAGUCUACAUCCCCAACUUAGUGUUAAGCCAGGCUCUGGAUGUCCAGGAGUUUCUUACACCACAACAUUAUUGUUCGUGGAGUCCAUUGUUGUUGCAGGUCUACCCAUUCUGGCUGUUUUCCGGCAUUGUUUCUGGCUGUUAGGUUGUACGUCAUCUCACCCAAACAAUGCUGGAUUCAGAGAAGGCGGGGGUCUGUGGAUGCUAGCAAGUGAGGCAACUUGGCUCGGACCGGCCAUAGCGCUGGUGUUGAUGUCUCCCCAGUCCCCACCGUCCUCCUUUGUCUCCCAGCCACGGCUGGCUUCAGUCCCUCCUCUGAUGUGAUGCUAUGUGAGCAAGAAAAAGAGCAAAAAAGUUAUGUAUCACCAUCCAGCGUCCACACAGCCAGAUUAGUUUUGGAUAACACAUGUACUCUGACCUGCUCAAUAGUCUGAAAUGCCUUCAUUAUUAGGCAGAUAAUGAUACUGCUCUGAAUAAUUCUUUUUUGUUUAGAGCAACGGUGUUUUCAGUAACUCUCCUAGGUAUAGGGUGUUGGUCAACAGCUACUUGCAAGGUGAAGAGAUGUCAACACUUCGUUUUUGAGCCGUGGCCUGUGAGGUACUGAGUACCGUGUCUUCCAUGUGCCCCUGACAAUCUUCGGCAUGCCAACCUUUAAUUUACCAUGUAGAAAUUAUCUAGCUUGAUUCAAUCCACCGGUGUUAUUUUAGGAGAUGCGUGCUGAACUGAAGUAGCUGUAUCAUCAACUGCAAGGUUAAUUAUUAUGUUAUUUUCUUUUGACCUGGAGGUUGAAAACAUGUGGAGGAGGGCAUCACGCCAUGCAAUGACACGAGGGAUCAGCUAGAAACAAGCGGAAGCUUUAACCUGAGAUGUUUAAGAUCUCUGAUGCACAUGGAGCUAGGUCUUUCACAUGUCUUACUCGGUAUGCAGGACAAUGCGGAGCGGAAGGUCUCAUUUAGUUCAGCAGCCGGAUAUCUGUUUGAAAGAUGCAGCGGGCACAAAUAAGUUGUUGUUAAGCCAUAUUUCUACGUCUCAUCCCUCUCUAAUUCUGACCACUCAAGUCCAUGUGGUUUUCUUCAUUUGAUCCUCUGUGCAGCAGCAAAGGCUUGGUCCAUUUGUCUUCUGCAAGAUGCGGAAUGAUGUUUUCUUGGCCCAGGCACGUGACGAAAUAUGAUUUGGAGGCUGACUGCUUUAGUUCUCCUUAUGAUGAUGUGAAUAAAAGGAAGCUUGCCUAUAGCCAUCUUGGUAUUGGAAACAAGUAUGCAAAGACGAGGGGACAAGGAGGUGAGCAAGGGCGAUGAGGGAGGAGCAGACUCACCGACUCGGACUCCUGGGCGAUUUUUAAUGGGGGCCAGGCGUGCCGGAGGUGUAGGUGACCAAAGUUGAGUAGCUCAGUGAGAUUGUUUUGGCUCAUGUCAUGAAGAGACUGGUCCGAGGGAGGUGACACUGAAUGUGCUGAGCCGAUGUCAUCUGAAGAAUCAAGUACCAAGAUAUUGCUGCUCUAGGCUAGCAUCUGCCACUACUCGAUGUGUUGCUGCUCCAAGGCCAGGUACGGGGGCGAUGUGCUUGGUCCAGUGGAGGAAAGCGUCGUGGGAGAAGAGGAACAUCAGGAGCGGUUGAGAUUGAGCAGGAGAUGAAGGGGUGUUGCCAUGCGCAUCACCGUGCCCGGUUUAUCUUGGGCUCAUCAUCAAGUACGAUGGCAGGAGUUGGGUCUGAUCCAGAGGCGGUGUGGUUAGCGAGUCAUUUGUUCUUUUUAAGUAUUAGCAAACUUUUGUUGACAUCAUGCCAAAUGUCCAUGAAUCAAAAUAGAAACCUUAGGGCCGAAUCUGUGUCUCCAUUUUGCGAAUUGCGCCAUGAGUCCUGUGUUCUUUUUAAGUAUUAGCAAACUUUUGGCGACAUCAUGCCAAAUGUCCAUGAAUCAAAAUAGAAACCUUAGGGCCAAAUCUGUGUCUCCA